UAUGUGGGAGCUGCGAUCGGCCGAACCUGCGGACGCUGCAGACCAGUGAUUUGUGGGAUAACUGUCUGCAGAAAAAAAAAAAGAAGAAGAAGAAAAAAAGAAGAGAUCUGGGAUUUUGAAACUAAAUAACAAUACAUCCUGAGGAUAUUUUGCACCGGGCUCUUGCAGGAAGUAUCCCUUGCUGUUAUGUGGCCAAAUCCUGAAAUCUCUGCCCAGCAGGCAUGUGUUAUUUCAAUUUCUGUUUAUCUCUUGUAUCCAUCACGGAGGCUGUCUCAGAAGACAAGGCUGGGCCGAUGAGAAACUUGCAGGUUUUGCUUGGACCGAGCCACAGCAUUCCUAAAAAUUGGCUGCACCUCAGAAAAACUCUUAGAAUAAUGUUAUUUACUAAUUUCUGCCCUGCAAAAUGUAGCUGAAAUAAAAACA